rnacentral:rRNA from 1 species
ACAAGCGGUGGAGCAUGUGGUUUAAUUCGACGCAACGCGAAGAACCUUACCAGGGCUUGACAUCCCCUGACCGCGUAUGAAAGUACGUUUUCACCCUCGGGUGACAGGGAGACAGGUGGUGCAUGGUUGUCGUCAGCUCGUGUCGUGAGAUGUUGGGUUAAGUCCCGCAACGAGCGCAACCCCUACGUUUAGUUGCUAACGCGUGAAGGCGAGCACUCUAGACGAACUGCCGUUGACAAAACGGAGGAAGGUGGGAUGACGUCAAAUCAUCAUGCCCCUUAUGUUCUGGGCUACACACGUGCUACAAUGGCCGGUACAGACGGACGCAAAGCCGCGAGGCGGAGCAAAUCCGAAAAAGCCGGUCUCAGUUCGGAUUGCAGGCUGCAAUUCGCCUGCAUGAAGUCGGAAUCGCUAGUAAUCGCAGGUCAGCAUACUGCGGUGAAUACGUUCCCGGGCCUU